GCUUGUAUUCAUGGACGUCGGUUAAAUCAUCGACGUUAAAGUUAACGACCGUUGGUUAGGGAACCAACGGUUAAAUCCUAACCGACGUUAAAACUAGCGGCACAUUCAUGGGAGAGAAAGCAUGCUGGGUUACCAAACCGACGGUCUAUUUUAGGCACUCAGGGUAUCCCCGUCACUGCGCAUGCGUUAACAGGGCGAGUACGUAGAAACCAAUAUGGCGUCAAACCAAGCUACAAAAAUACGGAAGGCAAAUUGUUCUCACAACAAGGUGAUGAUGCUGGAGAACACUCUUAAAAUAGAAAAAUAAGUAUGUAGAACCUAUGUUCAGAUUUGUGUCGUCGCUGGGAGCCGCAACACGUACCAGCGAUGAAGUGCGGGGUAAAGUUUUCACUUUGAAACGGGAACAUCGAGCGCGAGCAUCAGCAACGAACAAAACGGGCAAGUGAGGGGCUGCCACAAAACCCUAUGACGACGUACAUCCUCGAUGCCAUUGUUGGGAAAGACAAAGCUAAUCAUGGGGUGAAAGGUGGUGGGCAUAUUUAAGGAAAGCCAGACUGCUGCAUGUAGUGAAUCAGUCCUUGACACAGCUGCGUAGUAAGGAUGGUAUGGUUGAUACAGGCCGCAUCAGGCAUCGGGCAAAAUUUUGGGAGUCUUCAGAAGCAUAUCAAACAGUUGAGGUGCAGACCCAACACCAACCACCGACAAUAUCUUAGCAGCCACUGAAUGAUAUUGAUGAAAUACAGAUCCCACCACAUCAGACACCAGUGGAACCAAAGCAAAAGACAAAGCAAAGCUGGAAAGACCUAAAUAAACAAAUGCCACUCCAGAGAAAGCUGAAGAAAAGGCAGAGUACAGGAACUAGAGAAACCACUUUGUGGUCUGCAUAUUGAACACACUAAAUAGACACAAGACUGAACUUAUAAAGCUGAAAAUAAUGAAACUGAAAAAUGAGAUGAAAAUUAGUCACGCAGCAGAUGCAUGUGCACCUGCAAAAUAAAAAUUACUGCAAACUAUUCUUGUUUCAAUUUGUCCGUAUACUGCAUUUGUGUGAGUACCUUAAAAGUGCAUGUUGAUCACUCUCUGUCUCUUGUACAUGUUGAUCACUCUGUCUCUUAGCUUUUUCUGUGGCUAUGUACGUGCCUGUUCAGAUGCAGGUUGAGCCACUGAGCACUGUUGUGCAAUAUAAAACAUACUGUGAUCACAUCACAGGCUUUUGCAGAGGAUGACCAAAGCUUUGUACGGCAGCUCCAUCUCCUCUUGCACAC